UUUCGCAAUGCCCGAAAGGGUGACGAAGCGACGCCGCGUGUGGGAAGAAGGCCUUCGGGUUGUAAACCACUGUCGGGAGUUAAGAAAUGCAAGGAUAUGAAUAGUGUCUUUGCUUGACUAAGGCUCCGGAGGAAGCCACGGCUAACUCUGUGCCAGCAGCCGCGGUAAUACAGAGGCGGCAAGCGUUGUUCGGAAUUAUUGGGCGUAAAGAGCACGUAGGCGGCUAUGUAAGUCGGUUGUGAAAGCCUUCCGCUCAACGGGAGAACAGCAUCCGAUACUGCAUGGCUUGAGUGCGGGAGGGGAGAGUGGAACUUCUGGUGGAGCGGUGAAAUGCGUAGAUAUCAGAAGGAACGCCGGCGGCGAAAGCGGCUCUCUGGUCCAUAACUGACGCUGAGUGUGCGAAAGCUAGGGGAGCAAACGGGAUUAGAUACCCCGGUAGUCCUAGCCGUAAACGAUGGGCACUAAGUAGAGGGGUUUU
rnacentral:rRNA from 1 species